GCACCAGUGGUGUAGAGGCAUCAUGCGAGGUUCCCAAUCUUGUGACCCGGGUUCGAGUCCCGGCUGGUGCA
rfam:Anolis carolinensis chromosome 2, whole genome shotgun sequence.